GGGAAAUGGGGAGUUUGGGUUACUGUUCAUCGAAAGAAACAAAGGAGGAUCGAGGGGGGUUGGAGGGAGAGCUCCCAGAUUCCGACGAGGGGAAUCCGUUUUUAUUAUUCCAGCUUCUAGCAAAAAUGAUGGCUGCUCCAGCCUUUCUGAUCCAAAGCCAGCCUUCUGCCUCUGUUCUUUUUCAUAGAUCUGGAUCGAGUUCCUCCCUGUCGCCGGGCUUUAUCCAGAAAAUAAAAGCAUUUCUCCGAUCCAAAAUCACAGAUCAACAUUCUCACCUCUGAUUUUACCGCCGACCAUCCUGGAUCUUUGGCAAUGUCUGCGCUUCAAGGCCGGUGAGGCUCUGCCUGGAAACGUCGCCGCCGCCGCGCACUGCUGCUGCUUCUAUUUCUCAGAUCUAGUCGUUCCGUUCCUCACCAGUUCCGCCGAGAUCGUGUUCGGCCGAAGAUGACGCAACUCGUCAUUUUUCUCUUCUCAAACCGGCAAAUGGUCGACCUGGCCUCCGACACAGGUUAGGGUCCAGCUUCCUUCCCGCUCAAGCGGCUCACCGCCGACCAAGGAUGCUCAAUCAGCUAUUCAGUGACGCCGUGCAAUUUGGCAAAGAUUCGGAUCAGGAACGAACACUGCGAAGCUAAGUUUCUCAUCUAUUUUCGCUUUGAUUGAUUUUCUGAUGAAUCAAUAGCUUGCCUUCUACUGCUAUUGUUGUCGAUUGACAUGUUGUAAAAUGCAUUUGUGGAAAAGUCUUCAUUUAGCUUGAGCUGAUGAAUCAGCGUUGUUUGUCAAGAUUGAGUUCGAAUGUUCCCACGUGGUGGGUAUAUCGUUGGUCAAAUUUGCAUAUGCCUACUUUGAAUUUGCGAGUGUUUAUCUCUAAUUCAAUUCAGCUUCGCGAAAUCUCUGUUCGAUAUUUAGUACAUGAUUGUUGAUGAUUUGGAAAAAUGGGGGAAAGCCCCAAAUCAGAAUGGGGCUUUAAUGGUUUUCAACUGCCAUUUUGAUCAAUGUUAGUUUAAUAUUUGAUGGCUGGUUUGAAUUGAGUAAUAUGAGGGUAAAACAUGGAACGAAACGCAUUUCUGGAAAGUCUUCUUUAUACUUAAUCUUCUGUGGGAUUAUGUUUAUUUACAUUACUGCUCUUGAGAUCUGAAUUUGCAGUUUACAUAUCAACCUUGAUGUUUUUUCUGUGGUGUUUGCGCAAGGAUUAUAUCUGCAUAUAUGUACAGGUGUAUGGGCACCGAGAUGUCAAAUAUGAUGGGUUUGACAAAAUGUGUUAUACUUUGAUCAUGUAGCAAUUGACUUUUUUAAAUUCAUCAUUUGCCCUGUGCUGGUGCUUGGGAUUUUGAACUUGUUAUUGUCAUGAUUUUACUUUGUUUGUCAGCUUGGUGUUGCUAGGAUGCCAAUAUAGUUUUUGGGACGUGAUUUAGCUAUGAUUUUUGCUCUGAUUUUGGGGAUUGAUUCGAUAAUUUUGUUGCACUAACUUAGCCCUGUCGCAUUGUGAGUUCAGGUCCACCAAGACGGAUAUUUCAACACUUGCUCGUUGUUGAAAGCACUACGAUUGCCUAGCUGAGCCAAAUAUGGUUUAUUCAUGGGAGCUCUUGACAAAAGGGGACAAAUGACAGCUCCGCUAGUUACUUGCUCGGGUCCUAAGCUCAACUUUUGGGGAAUGUUAUAGCAUCAAGACAGGGCUGCUGAACACACUCACAAAAAAGAGACUAAUCGUGACAUGGGUUUUGGGUUAAAGACAUUAUUGAAUUCGUGGUUUCAUAUCAUAUGCACUGACAAAUAAUUAUUGUUUAUCCAUUAUAUUUUCUCUUUGAGAAUCGUGAUUUCAGGAUUGUGAAUUUCAGCCAUUGGGAUACAAAUAUUCUAAUUUAUGUGUCAUUUUUGGGGAUUCUCACAACUUUUAUUCGAUGGAAUAAAUGUUUAGGGCGGCACUGUUGCUUGGGAAAAGCAAAGCGUACACUUCUUUACUUGUUAAUUGAUUUACAGCCCUAUCUCUAAGGGCUCUCAUAUUUUACUAAUAUAUAUGUGCUUAAGAAUUUUUGUAGCACAUGAUAAACAAAUUUGGGGAAUGAUUUGAACAAUUAUGGUAAAUACCAUAAUGUAAAACAGGAUAACCCACUAGUAAGUGGUAAUUCAGGUAUUUCGCUGAAUUCUAUCAAUGGGAGGAGCAUGAUUGGGAUAUGUGAUAUUUUAUCACUUGGGCAUGAUUUACAUGAUCUUUGAUGGGAUUUGAAAUUUGAAUGAAUUCAUCGGUAUACGAAUAUGGGAAUCAAGUUGUGGCAAUGGAUUAUAUAAUCUAGUGUUCGAAUUCUCUUUGCAGCCCUGUCUCAAGGGGCUCU
rnacentral:lncRNA from 1 species